CUUUCAAAAUCUUUAUCAUCAAGAAACUUCAUGACAUUUAACGAUUAAGCAGUAUAAUUUUGAGAAAAAUAUUAUGAAUUGGUAUGUUCGAGUGUUUUGUCUUUGGGGUGGAUGGACGAAUUCUAUCCCAAUGUGCAUCAAAUUGUGGGACACUUGAGUUCUAUCCCAAUGUGCAUUAGGUGUUAGGGCACUUUAUGGUUCUUUGCAUGUCCAAUACCGAGUUUUGGGUCAGCCUGAUUUUUGUCCUCCAAAAGGAAAAUGAGGGGGGCACACAUGAUGGACAGUGGAACCUUGCACAGAUCAUGAUGGGCUCCACACAUAUGGUAGAAUAAGCUUAUUCUACAAAUGUCACUGAGGAAUCUGCCUAGUUGUAGAAUAAGCUUAUUCUGCUAAUGUUGCAGAGAAACAUUAUCAUGCAUGAAAAUAUCUUUCAAAAUUUCUUUUGUAAGAUGCUUCUAUUGAUCAGUCGGAGGUCUUCAACAGGUUUGUUUCUUCUGUUUGCAUUUUGCUAACCAAAGAUGAGCUUGUAAUCACCAUGCAUGGAUGCACUGCUGCUAUAUGUGAUAAAGUGAAGCAGUCAGCAGAAGGUGCAAUUCAGGCUGUCAUUGAGUUCAUUACAAGAAGAGUUAAUGAGUUGAAUGAAACUGAUGUUUCACGGUAGGACUUGAGGGGAGUGCUAAUGGACAAUGGUGGUUGGAUGCUAUCAGGAAGGCCCUCGAAUAAGGUACGACAUUUGAACGUGUAGGAUCUAGGCAGUUGGCUAGUUUGCUUAUAUCUGCAGGAGAGUAAAUAAAAGGUGGAACUUGGAUUUAAAAGAUGCAUUGAGGGUCCUUACUGUAUAUGGCUUGGACUCAUUGCCCCAGCAGCUGAUAGUAUCUGAUGCAUAAAGGUUUCCAUCAGCAAAUUGCUGAAGGUGGCAGUUUAACUCGGCAAAUAACCGUGCAGUCUUGACAGUUUUCAGGUUGCUGGAAAUGAAAACCCUUCGACUCUUAUUUGCUUUGCAUCAAAGACUACCAAUGCAGGACAGAUUACAUCGUAGUUGCAUUUGAUUGGACUUGGUGCCCAACCAGGUUUGCUCUUAGCAUUUACCUGAAUUUCAGCUUCAUGUUGUUCCAUUGUUUCACUCCACAUGUUCUUGCCCCUCUAGAAAUAGAGAUGACAUUGAUAGUUCUCUGUUGUAGCAGAUCAGUGUUCGUUGUCUUUACCUGGAGCAGAAAGAAAUCCACGGUUAUAUCAGCUCUUGUACCUAA